UUACACUAGUGGACCCAGAGAGCUGCCUCUGCUUCCAGAGCUGAAUGUGCUAAAGAACAAGCUGAGGGAGUGGACUGGAUUGCUGAGGUCCUGCUUGUAGACAAAAGGGGGCUCUUAGGAAGGCCUCAGAUGACUAGGGAAUUUCAGGCCUAGAUCCAACUUGAUAUCACUUAGGCUGAUUCCCCAUGUAAUCCAUGCCUUCUCUCUAAAACAUCUGAUCCAAGUGGCAGCUGGAUCUGGAUUUAGUCACCCUCAAGAGUUAUUAUCAAUAGUCAAUGCAGAGACUGGUCCAAGUGCUGAGUCUUCUCAGCCCACUGAGUGCUCAGCCCAAAGUGGGAUAUCUUUAUCAAUCCCCUACCCAUAUCUGAGGCUCAUCACAGAAGAGGAGGUAGAAAGAAAGUAGGAGCUGAAGGAUGGGGAGGAGUGCCGUGAAAUGUCUUGUGGACUGAUGUGGACAUUGUGAACUCACAGCUGCUGUGUUUACCUGAACAAGACCUGCACAAACUCAAGAUGGUCAAAAUUCCAGCAGAGAUAAGGGAGCUGAUUCCAGGCCCCACCCCUUACUGAGGAGCUAUUGGAAGUUGAUUGUUGCUGGGUGUGUACAAGGGGGCAUCUUUCUUCUUGGAGGUUUUUUUCAGAGUUUACUUGAACAUUCUGGGUGAACUGCAUUUGUGAGACUGGAGGAACAUGUCAACCUUCAGGAUCCAACGCGUUAUUUGUAUUUCACAGAUGCCCGUUUCAGAUCCAAAGGAUUCCUUUGAUUCUUAAUUUGCCUAGAGGGGUCAUAAAACUGGAUUGUCAAACGCUUUCGAAUUCUGUAACAAACUAAUAAAAAAGUACCUUUUGGUAGAUUGCUGGA